UCCAUCCCAUAAUGCCGGAUCACUCCCUGAGCCGAAGGCAGACGCUUAACCGCUGUGCCACCCAGGCGCCCCAAGGGGUCUUGUCUCAUCCACCCCCUCUCAACCCCGUGCUUAGCAGAGGAGUAAAGCAAAUACUCAAAGUCUGUUUGUUCAAUAUUGAAUAAAAUUCGGGCAUUUCUUUUUCAAUAAUCAAACUGAAAAUCAUAAUGCUACCAAGUACUUCCUCAUUUGCCCUUUAAAGACAAAGAUAAAAGACACAUAUUUUCUUUUACAUGUAACAUAUUGUUAUGCUUAUUAACAAUUUCAGGGGGCUCAGAAAUAUUCCUUUGCUUCGAGUGUUCUCCAUCUGGAAGAGUUUAGCUAAUUAAACCAAAGAUCAUGGAUGAGUUGGCCCCAUUUAUCUCCAGUGGAUGAAAUCCUUUUCUCUCCCGAGGAUUCUUCAGACAAAUAUCAAAGAUACUCUGUCCACGAGCCUAGUUGAUGGAGCGUUCCUGUGGCCAAAGUUGAAGGGUCUCAACGUAAGGACUGCCAAGUGUGUGCCAAUGCCUCUUCCUCAGGCUUCUAGAGCCACCUGUCUUCUGGCUUUGCUGGGAUACCUACCCUUGAAGAAUUGAUCACCUAAUAGGGGUACAGAACACAGCCGCCGAAGCAGAAAUUUAUCUUGGCACCUGCUGAUGGAUGCAUGCACACAAGGAUCCAGAGAUUGAGUGAAGGAAGAUUCCUGGGACCAAGGAAAGCAGAAAUGGCGGGGCAUGCAUUACCUGUGACAAUGGUGCCAAAUCAGCAUGGAAUCUUUUUGAAGACAUUGUAACUGGUGGUUAAACUCAGCACCUGUACCGCUAACAAUGCACAAAGCUCAAGGAAAAGGGAGAAGAGAUGGAGAACCGUUCAGGUCAAGAAAUGAGGCUCAAAGAUGUGAAAUGAUGUGCCCAAGACCCCGUUGCUCCGCAGUCACAGAGCUGGAGUGGAGACUCAUCUACCUAAGCUCUUCCCAUUACAUCUGCUUGUCUCUUUGAAUUAUACAAGAAAGGCAAAGGGAGAGAGAGAGAGAGAGAGAGGGACACUAUAGUCCUUUUCACAUCGGUCCGAUUCACUUAGAGGGUAUCGUUGCUAUUUCCAAGUCUGGAGAUUUCACCCAUAGUCCGUUACCUCUUACCAGUGGAUCAGAGGGGCUCAGACUGCAGUGUUUGCUACCUGCCAACAGCCUGGGUUUCUUUUGGAUGGGUCUGGCUAUGACGUACCCUUCUGGGUACAUGACAUUUGGGAGCAGUCACUUUGACAAUGAAAGAAGAUACAUCUAUAGAUCAAAGUUGUAGAAGAAAUGUAGAUAUAGACAUUAAAGAGACUUCAAAGUAAAAACAUUCACAGACAAUGUGUAGAACCUGAUUGAAUCCUAGUUUGAAAAACCAGCAUUAAAAAAUACUUGGAGGUGGCACCUGGUUGGCUUAGUUGGUGGAGCGUGUGACUCUAUCUGAGUUGUGGGUUUGAACCCCAGGUUGGGUGUAGAGAUUACUUAAAAAUAAAAUCUUUAAAAAAAUAUUUGGGAACAAUUGUAUAUAUUUGAGUGUGGCUAGAAUAUUUGGUUAUAAUGAGGAAUGAGCGUUAAUUUUCUUGCGUAUGAUAACGCUAUUGAGGCUAUGUAGAGAACUGUCUUAUGUUUUAGAGAUACGUACUGAAGUAUUUAGGGAUGAAAUGUGUACUUUGAAACAUCAACAACAAAAACAGCAACAAAAAAACAGAUGAAGCAAACUUGGCAAAAUGUUAAGAACUGUUAAAUGUUGGUAAUAGGUAUGAGGAUGUUCGUUUUAUUAUUUUUUCUCCAUGACAUUUACCGUUUGAAGUAAGACAGUGGGGAUAUUUGGAUGAGGCUUAAGAAGGAAUGUGCUUAUCACUAGUAUUUGUCUUUUUUCUUUUCUUAUUGAAGUAUAGUUGACAGACAGCGUUCCGUCUCUGGUGUACAACACAGUGAUUUGACAAUUCUGUGCAUUACUCAAUGGUCACCAUGUCAGUGUAGUCACAGUCUUUCACUACACUCGUAUUUGCCUUGUUAUAUUUACUAUGGAUUGAUGAGUCAAUUUUCUUUAUUCCCUUUCCUCCUCAACUGGGGAUCUUGCUAGUUUUGAUUAUUCCUAGCACCUGUAUUCCUGGCAUCUAGCAUGGUCUCUAGUACACAGUUGGGUUGUUAAUUUUUUUUCUGCAAAGCUCAACUCUCACUGAUGAGAAUUGGCCUUUCUCCAUCAUUGCCAGCCUUUGCUUUGGUUCUCCCUGAUUCUGGCUUCAUCUCUGGCUCUGCAGGUUCCCCCAUCCACAGCCCUCCCCUGCCUCAUCUUGGUCUUUUCCUGGUCGAUCCCUGGGGUCUAUCCCACAGGCAGGAAGCAGAAGGCUGCUGGGGGCCCACAUGCCCAUCAGUCUGAGCGCCGGCAUGCAGCAUCUCCCACCCUCUCUCAUGAUCUGUUGCCAUCACACUAUGGACUCCUGGAGGCCAGAGACCUUCCCCUGCACGUCUUGGUAGCUGCUGGGGCACAUGGCGUGGCCCAUAACUGGUGCUCUGAAACCAUUUGUUGAUUGACCACUCGCAUUCCCCUU